rnacentral:tRNA from 1 species
GGGGAUUUAGCUCAGUGGUUAGAGCGCUUGCCUAGGAAGCUCAAGGCCCUGGGUUCGGUCCCCAGCUCCG